AAAAUAAAAGGCAGCAGGAAAAAAGACCAAAUACGAGAUGACUGACUCCAUAAAAGAAGCAGAGCUGAGUGGCUGUUGAGGAGAGGACAUUGUGGACUCAUUCAUAGAGUGGCCAGAAGUCAUAGUCAGGUUUACUCAUAUCAAGUUGGUUUUAGUAGUUAUCUGGCUAUGUUAUUUGUAGUUGUUGCAAUUCUGAAAACAAAUCAUUUUAAACAUUACACUUGGUACCAUAGGUAUUUGGUCAAGUUCCUGUACCUCUCCAGGCCUUAGUUUUGCACUAAAUUAAGGGGUUGAAAUAGAUUAUCUUAAGGGCCUUUCUAGCUUUAACAUACUAUUAUUUUCUGAUAUUCUAAAUUAAUAACUGGAAAAAAUGAAGAUUAAAAUAAAGAAUAUCCCUUGCAUUGUAACUAUGCUUUCAAUUAUUCAAUUAUAAUUUAUUAUUACUUGUUAUUAAUACAUACUAAUUAUUAUCUUCCAAAUAAGGGACAGAGUAACUUUUCAGUUUCGGUAACAAUAAGUUUCUUAUAGGUUAAACCUUUCUGUUUCCUAUGUAUGUUGAGAACGCUAGGCAGUAAAAUAUAAUUAUUUUAAAACCAUACACUGUAAAAUGAGAUUUUGCAGCGAUGCUGUUAACACUUGCAUCUUGAUUCUCAGAGAACAAUUAUAAAUGUGAUAAACUAAGAAGGGAAACUAAAACUGGUUCUGUUUCUGUCUGAUUAUAGAUAACAGGUUAGGUUAUAUAUUAUUGUCAGUGAAAAAGAUAAAAUUUAUCAGCAGAAAAUAUUUUUAUUCAUAACAGAAUUCAUUUAAUCAAUUAUUUAGACUCAAUAAAAGUUUUCUUCUCCCCAUAGUUGCAUAUUCUAUUUGGGGAAGAGUCUAGACUGUUAUUUGAUCUAUAUAAUAAUAAUAAUAAUAUGUAAGCUAGCCAGCAGCAGUACUCUUAUGGCUGCCAUUUAUUGAGCACUUAUGUGCCAGUACUUUACAUAAAUGAUCUCAUUUAAUCUUUAGCAGCAAUUUUUUGAAGUAGGUAUUAUUAGCUAGUGUUGCAAGGUAACCUGCUCAAAGUCCCACAAGGAGUAAUCCUUCAAGCCAGGAUCUCUCUGUCCAAACUUUGCUCCUUUAACUCUUCUAAUCCAAGCUGUAAGAACCUCAGGGAGACUAGACCAAGCGUCUUAAUUCCACACAUAGUUCAUAGCCUCAGUAAGACAGUGAAAUUCCUAUACCGCAGACUGAGUGUGAAUUCUUUUGAGAGAUGUGACUGUCAACUUAAUUCCCUAUACACAUGGCCUUCUGUAUAGUAUCAGGUUCAUCUGUCAGUCUCUGAAUCAGGCUUUGGUGAGUGGUCAAAAUUAAAAUCACUCAUAUUGGAAUGUCUGCUGUGCUUUAUUUCAUUGUCUGUCUAUAAGCAGAGGAUACACAGACAGCUUCUGGGAGUUUAAAGUAGAGGAAGACUUUUGUAGCUUCUUAACAAGCAAGCCUACCUCCCCUUUUGAGUGGCAGUCCUUCAUAGGCUUGCCGAGGGAGACAGUUUCCCACGGCCCCCUGCUGGCUCUGAGUGAACAGAUUCUCAGCCCCCUGCUGACUGCGGAAUAUGUCGCUUAUCCCCAUCUCAACUCUUUACCGACAGCCUUCAAAAUGACUUGUUUAGAAGACAGAUGGCAUGGCAGAAUCUCUGACAACCGAUUAAGGAAGAAUACAAUAGAUUCCUGCCAAAUAUCCCUACCAUUUCAAUGUGAACUAACAGCAGUUUUUGUCAUGAUGGAAAAAGGAAAGGAUGAUGUUAAGAACUGUUGUCUUCUGUCAAAAGCAGCAUACCGUCUAUUUGCAUUGUGUUUAGAGAGGAUUUAAUGAAGUCAACAUAUAGGUUAUGCAUAGCAUUUUGCCUUUGCACAUGCUGUUCCCUCUGCAUGGAAUCCCUUCUCCUUCUCUGCCUACCUUUCCAGAGCCAGCCCAAAUGAUACAUUCAAUAUGAGCCCUUUCCAGAUUCCCAUGGCGUCACUCCUUCCUCCAGGCUCUGACAACACUUUUUUUCUACCUCUGGUGUAGCAAUUAACGUGUUGCAGUAUAGUCUGUGUAAUUGUUUGUCUGUCUUGACUCAACGAGAAGCUUCUGGAACACAGGGACCAUAGUGUGCUUAUUCAUCCGUCGCAUCCCCUGCACCCAGAACAGUGCCUAGUCCAGAACAGGUGCUGUGUUACUGAUUUUUAAAUGACUUCCCUGCCAUAGUAUGAGAUUUUUCUUCUUGGGGUCCAGAGCUACUUAAGAGUAUGGUUAUUGCGAUCGUGGAAACUGUUGACAAGUCCCAGCUCUGCUAAUUCCUUGACAUUCAUUCUUUCAAGUUUCUUCAUUCUGUAAAAUGCGGAUGUACUGAUACCUGCCUCGUGGAAAUAAGUUUCUGCAAAUGUUUUCAGUUUUGUUUUGUUUUUGUUUUUUCAUAAUUAUAGAUCUAUUCAGGUUUUCUGCUGUUUACUCCUGAGUCAAUUAAUGUAAUUUAUGUUUUCCUAAGAAUCAUUCAUAUCUUGUUUUAAUUUAUUUUCAUAAAGUAAUAAGUAUUCUCCUAUUUAUUGACUUCCUCUAUCUGGUUAUAUCACAGUCCUAAUUUGUAUAUAUAUGUGCUCUUUCUCUUUCCCUUUUUCUAGAGAGAAAUAUGUUAAAAUGUUGAUAGUAGCUUUCUCUGGCAAUAAGAUUAUGGGUUAUUUUUAUAUUUUUCUGUUUUUUCCAAAUGCUCAGAAAUCAAUGGAUAUAUUACUCAUGUAGUCACAAAAAAUACUUAAUAAAAUAUCUUUCUUUAUUUCCAAGUAUGGAAGUUGAGACAGAAACAUAAUAUAGAUCAUGGCCUUAGAGUGGAAUCAGGAAACCUGUACUGGCUCAGUCACUUUUUUCUAUGAGAUUAUUUCCUUCUUCAAAAGGACUCCUUUUUCCAGGGACUCUCGGUUCUGAUAGUCACAUUAUUAAUCUACCAAAAUCAGGGGGAUGAUCACAGUCAUGCUGCCCUAAUGCCACUCAUACUUGCCUGGUGUGCAGGUAUGUGAAUGAUGUCAGACAUUGGAUCAGGAAUGGAAGAUUCACAAAAUAGUAUUCUGUCAACAUGACACAGACAAUAUUUGAUUGAAUUUUUAAAUCUAAAUCUACACAGACCCAUCGUUUCUAAACUUAUAAAAAUACUUAUGUUCUAUUCACUUGUUCCUUUAUCCAAAAACAAAAACAAAAAAUCCUCUUACCUCUAGAAGAUGUGUUUGUAAAAGAAUUCUAAUUCCCUGGUUUUCUUUAUAUAGAGAAUGUCUGAAUGAUGUCAAAAAUCCAAUACUUUCCUUUAGAAGAAAAUUAACCAGGAAAUAAAAAAGGGGGUUAGUCAUUAUUCUUUAAAUCACAGUAUCUCUUAGCUAUUUCACACAGGAAGUGGAAAAAUUAAGCAGCAUUAAAAUGUCCGCUUGAUGUGAGCCUGUUGUUAAUUUCAAUACUUUAUAAAUGGUAGUUAAGCAUAAAGAUGAAAAAUAUGUACAUGUGUUUUAUUUAAUCUUUGAGCCCUAAGACUUAUGAUGCUUAGCAAUGUCUGUAUAAAAAGAUAAAGUAUUCUAAGUAUUUAUCACAUUUACUAUAUUCUAACAGUUUUUGUUGUCAGAGAAUUUGCUAUAAAAUGAUAUAAACAUUGUAAUUUAAACCUAUGCAUGGUUUUUGGAAAAAGUAACAGGCUGAGAUAAUAAAAGGCAACUAAGUAUCUGAGGGUUAAAAUAGAAUUAAACCAAUAAUUAGAAUGUACUAAAAUUAGGCAGAUAGUUAGGCUUGAAUUUCAACCUUAUAAUUACAUAUAUUUUAGGCAUUUAGAGUGGGUAAAUUUGAAUGUUUCCUUAUGAAUGCUUUACUAAUAAACUUUUUAAAAAUCAA